AGUUAUAUGCUUGUCUCUAAGAUUAAGCCAUGCAUGUCUAAGUAUAAGUAACUAUACUGCGAAACUGCGAAUGGCUCAUUAAAUAAGUUAUCGUUUAUUUGAUAGCACAUUACUACAUGGAUAACCGUGGUAAUUCUAGAGCUAAUACAUGCUAAAAAUCCCGACUCCGGAAGGGAUGUAUUUAUUAGAUUAAAAGCCAAUGCCCUCUGGGCUAGCAGGUGAUUCACAAUAACUCUUCGAAUCGCACGGCCUUGCGCCGGCGAUGGUUCAUUCAAAUCUCUUCCCUAUCAACUUUCGAUGCGAAGGUCUUGUCUUCGCAUGGUUACAACGGGUAACGGAGGGUUAGGGCUCGACCCCGGAGAAGGAGCCUGAGAAACGGUAGGCCCUCGCCCCUUAUUUCCCUCCCAUCCGACCACUGAUUGCUAACGUUGUUCCCGCAGGCUACUACAUCCAAGGAAGGCAGCAGGCGCGCAAAUUACCCAAUCCCGACACGGGGAGGUAGUGACAAGAAAUACUGAUACAGGGCUCUUUAGGGUCUUGUAAUUGGAAUGAGUACAAUUUAAAUCCCUUAACGAGGAACAAUUGGAGGGCAAGUCUGGUGGACUUCCAGCGUCCCAGUGCUGGCGCCAGCAAGAGUGGGAGGCUCCCGGAGGGAGCCUUCUGACCCACUAGUCGAGCGCUCGCAUCCCUGGCGGGGGAGCGCCGGCGAGACAACCUGGAUCGGGGAAGGCUACGGGGCGCGAGCCCUAUGCUGAUCCCGAGCAGAGUUCCGGGGGAGCGAUCCCCCGAGGACCUGUGUAGAGCGCGGUAAGGUGUCGGUCGCUCUGCUGCUUCCCCUUGCAGCAGGCGGCUUAAGGGACGUGCCAGCCGCCGCGAAAGCGGCUUUCCCAUCCGGAGCGCCCGCCACGCGAAGGAUGGGAGACUGCCGGUGCAGACUCCGGCAGGGGGAGAUGACAUGCAGAGCCGUGUCCGACAGUGGCCAGCAGCCGCGGUAAUUCCAGCUCCAAUAGCGUAUAUUAAAGUUGUUGUGGUUAAAAAGCUCGUAGUUGAACCUUGGGCCUGGCUGGCCGGUCCCCCUCACCGGGUGCACUGAUCCAGCCGGGUCUUUCCCUCUACGGAACCCCAUGGCCUUCACUGGCCGUGGCGGGGAAGUAGGACUUUUACUUUGAAAAAAUUAGAGUGCUCCAAGCAGGCCUAUGCUCGAAUACAUUAGCAUGGAAUAAUAGAAUAGGACGCGUGGUUCUAUUUUGUUGGUUUCUAGGACCGCCGUAAUGAUUAAUAGGGACAGUCGGGGGCAUCAGUAUUCAAUUGUCAGAGGUGAAAUUCUUGGAUCUAUUGAAGACUAACUACUGCGAAAGCAUUUGCCAAGGAUGUUUUCAUUGAUAAGGAACGAAAGUUAGGGGAUCGAAGACGAUCAGAUACCGUCGUAGUCUUAACCGUAAACUAUGCCGACUAGGGAUCGGACGAUGUUAUUUUUUGACUCGUUCGGCACCUUUCGAGAAAUCAAAGUGCUUGGGCUCCAGGGGGAGUAUGGUCGCAAGGCUGAAA
rnacentral:rRNA from 1 species